GUGGGGAAUUUUGGACAAUGGGCGCAAGCCUGAUCCAGCCAUGCCGCGUGCAGGAUGAAGGCCUUCGGGUUGUAAACUGCUUUUGUACGGAACGAAAAGACUUCUUCUAAUACAGGAGGUCCAUGACGGUACCGUAAGAAUAAGCACCGGCUAACUACGUGCCAGCAGCCGCGGUAAUACGUAGGGUGCAAGCGUUAAUCGGAAUUACUGGGCGUAAAGCGUGCGCAGGCGGUUAUAUAAGACAGAUGUGAAAUCCCCGGGCUCAACCUGGGAACUGCAUUUGUGACUGUAUAGCUAGAGUACGGUAGAGGGGGAUGGAAUUCCGCGUGUAGCAGUGAAAUGCGUAGAUAUGCGGAGGAACACCGAUGGCGAAGGCAAUCCCCUGGACCUGUACUGACGCUCAUGCACGAAAGCGCGGGGAGCAAACAGGAUUAGAUACCCGAGUAGUCC
rnacentral:rRNA from 1 species